AUACUAUCUGGCAGGGGAGAUAUCAUGGCCACGAAGGUGGUUUUUCCAGGGUGAGCCUUACCCAUUGCACUCUGGAUGGGGUGACCCCUGAAAUUUUACCAAAUAUGAGAUUUACUGCAUAAUUUGUUGCAUAAUUUGUUGUGAACUGCAUUCACACUGUCC